UAGUGGUAAAAGACAAGCAUUGUGUUUUACAUUAUGAUCUUCUCUGAAAUGCACUGUAUGCAACUGGGCCUGUUGAGGUUCCCAACACCUCAGUAGUGGUGCCCAACCGGUUGAUCACUAAGACAUUUUUAAUCAAUCAAUCUCAAUACAACCUCCAUUCCUUCCUCAUCAGUAAAAUAUACCAAGGGGUGCCCCACCUGUUGGCAAAAUAUACUGUCACAAUUCAGUAGCUCACCGGAAUAUUUUCAUUGUAAAGGUAGAUCUCUCUGAAAAAAGGCUGGACAUCACUGCUCUACAUGUUUUUCAGCGUAACUAAAUGGCUUACAUUAUACCACAAAAAACGGCGACAUCUCCAGGUGAAUAAGAAGGGCACACCUUUGAGAACCAGGCAGAAUCGUAUUAACAGAGGCUUCAUUAUGCUGUCUAUGAGCUCCCAAAUGUUCACCCAGUGUCUUGUGUUUAGUAUAAUGUUAGUGUUUGUGUUUCGGUUACCUUCAAAGCAUGAAUAAGUGCCAAUAUAUUUUUUUUUUUUUCUGUUUGUUUUAUUUAAUGUAUUUCAAAUUUCACUUAAUCAUGUUAUCCAUAGAAGUUACUUUUAUAGCAAGGUUCAUAUCAGCUUAAGUACCUUUCUAACCGAAACCCAGUCUGGUACCUCAACCAGGAACCUUUGGGUCAAAAAUCUAUCAUGACAGAUGUUAUCGAGAGUGAAUGUUAAGUACAACCGCUGUCCAUUUUAUUAUAUUUACAAAAUCACAACCAAAAUGGCCACCGUCAGCGUAAUAAAAAAGAAGCAUAUACCAUCAAUAUACAACAAAAUAUACACAACAAAUUACAAAGACGCAGGCUCUCACAUGGUGGGAAAGGUGGUGUACAGACAAGAUAUCCCAAUGAUCUCAAUGAAACAAACAAACAAACAAGCAAUCUCUCCCACUCCAAAUUCAAGGAUCUCAAAAAAAACACAAUCUCAAAAAUCCAGCCAGGCAGAAAGAACCAAUUCUUGGUUUAUAAAUAUCAAGCCCCAACCACUCAUUCAAACACUCAAUCAUGUGAAGCUACCGCCAUUAAUUCCCCCGGGCGAUUAAUGAAAUCUGUCUGUUAAAUGAAAUUAAUACUUAAAAAUCUGUUUUCGUUUUGCAACAUUUAUAUACACCCAUCCAGAAUGUCAGCUACAGUUUCAGGAACGACGCGUUCCUGGUAUGUUUUUAAAUAGCUGUACCUCAGAGGACACGCAAGAAAUAGACAAGGCAUGUCAUUCUCUUUUGUUCCUAAAUUGCAUACAUGUACCCAAGACGGCAUCUAAAAAGGGAAGUCUAGAAUAACAGUGGAUUUUGUUUUUGAUCCCAUUCAGCUUUCAACACCAGCCUCACAGACAGGAAAGGUCACAACAGGUGUCCUGGCUCCCAGAUUUAAGAACAGCUGCCUCCUGCCCGCAGUUUCCUGACUGAACGCCAUGCAUCAUUAGCACACUUUAAAUAUACCGACCUCAGAACAGCCGCCACCACACUCUGCCUCUUCUAUAGAAUUCUCUCCCCUGCUCUCUUUGUAUUUUCCCACAUUUUAGACUCUCAGCGGUUACUGGCACUUUGCUUGUAAGACUGAGCUCAAGCAUUGCUUACUGAAAAGAACGCAUCGUCGUAGUUCUGUUAUGUACCUUCCUUUGGGUCCUCGGGAAUAUACUAGAGACUCUAAACUUAGAUGAUUUGGCUGGAGAUACCAAACCUUACGGACUCAUUGAAAAUGGAUCAACAACACUGUCUGGACAAUGAGGUAAGGAACAACAGCAAUGCUACCAAUGUCCCCUUCUCUACUAAUGGUUGGCCAAUCGUGCAGCAAGUGGGAACCCAUUUCUUCUAGAGAAGACCAAUCAUCUCAGCUGGCUAAGAAAAACCACGGUGUAAGAAAAGUCGGAGACUCUCAAGAGAGUGCCGAGGUUCCCCUUUGCUUUUUGCACCUUUCACUCAUCGACUGCUGUUCCUUUGGGGUUUCAGCAGUGACAACAUUGUGUAUAGUUCAAACCCUGGCUGUGGUUCAUCGAGGCUUCAUUGAGAAACUUGAAAAUUAGAUCAUUUUGUCUAUCAUUGUUCACCAUUCGCACCAAAUUAUGCCCUUCAUCCUAUUCAAUGAGCCAAAUAGCUCUUUUCAUUACCACUGCAACCGACUACCCUGCAUCCAGUGGUAGUGCAUAAGAAUACUUACACCACUUGUUUAUGUGAGGCCCCCUGUUGGCCACAAAGAGUCACUACAUUAAUAUAUUAAAUACUGCAAAAAAGCUAGCUAGCUAUAAUGUUCUGACUGUAUUCAUUAGCUUAUGUUAUUGUUAUAUGAAACAAUGAGAUCAUCAUUUCCCAGCAGUGCCACAAAAAGGAAGAAAAUCAAAGACAGAAAGUCUUUCAAAACAGAAAAUUUGCCGAAGCUGACCAGUGUCUUCACCACAGACAAUGAAACACCGGAUGAAGAUGCAGAGAUGGCCUAACCAGACUUAUCGGUGUUGAAUGCUAGGAAAGCGAGGGCACAACUUCUUGUUGAAAAGUUAAAAAGAUUUUUAUUUAUUUAUUUAUUUUUUUAAAUCGAUAGCCUUGUCACUGCUCCAACAGCAUACAGCGCAUUGAGGGAGAAUUUAGUUUUUUGUGGCAUUAACUUGCGCAUUAUUCUUUGACUUUCUCUUUAAUUAAGCUCCAAUCACUGCUAACACUGUGCACUACGAUAUACAAAUCUGUACGUAUCUGUUGCAUCGAAAGAUGAGCAUCUGUGUUUUUUACGGUACUGAUAACAGUAACUUUGGGAUUUCUAAAUACAGGUAUAUCGUAAUACCACCCUACCACCCAAACCUAUGCCAAUUCCUUUAACCAUUCUUUUUUAAUAGUAACUUAGCAACCACCUACAUGACCACCCUCACCAAAUUCAUCAUAGGCUUACUAACGAUGCUCUACUGUGAAAAUUACAUCUACUCAGUGUGACCUGAGGCAACUUUUCCAUUUUCAAUCACCACAAUGUUCCAAUUAUUCAUGAUUUUUCAUCACCAUGGCAGCCCUGUAUACCUGGUCACUAACGAUAGGAUGUAGUUCAGCGUUUACACCUGUUCUAAGAGAAAGUAGCAUUGACUGAAUCAUCGUUCCAUUUUCCGUCUAUC